AAAAGAAAUUUAACAUUAAAUAUUUUCGCAAAACCAAUACGUUCCGCUCAGAAUCGAGAAAAUACGCCGCAAGUUGCGAGCCCCGACCGUAAUCGAAAUAUCGCCGCGUGACGAACACUGACCGUAUGCCUCCUUGUGCGCUGGCGCUGACGUCCGCCCCGAACUGCAGCAGCAACUUGGCUAUCUGGUAAUGGCCUUGCGAACACGCUUCGUGCAACGGCGUGUAACCCGCGUUGUCGGCCACGGACGGUGCGUAAUCGAGUUUUUCGAUACAAUAACCCACGACGUCCUGUAAAAAAAAAAAAAAAAAAAAAAAAAAAAAAAAAAAAAUAAUAAUAACACGAUCGUACAAUUUAAUGUUUUACACAUCGGCGGGUACAGUAUAAAAGUCAAGAACGCAUCCCCCGUCGGCAGUCCGACGACA